AUGGCGAAGCACGGAAGGCGCCCUGUAAACAAGUAUGCAUUUGCCACCGCCGUGCUCUCGACUGCGACACCCCUCUUCUUGGGCUACGACCUGGCCAUGGUGAGCAGCACGGCCGUGCUCGCCGAGGCCGACCUGAAGCUCCUAGCGUGCAUCGUCGUGCUCUCCUCCCUCGUGGGCGCGCUCACCGCCAUGGUAGCGCAGUGCCUCAUCGGUGACCGCCGCACCGUCCUCCUGUCCGCCGUGGUGCUCUGCGUUGGCGCGCUCACCAGGGGGCUCGCCGCCGGCCCCGCGGCGUUCACGGCCGGUGUCUUCGUCGACGGCAUCGGCAUGGGCCAGGCGCUCAUGAUCGUCCCGGCGUACGUCGCCGAGCUCUGCUCCUCCUCGCUGCGCGGCGCCCUCAUCUCCCACCCGGACGGCUUCGUGUACCUCGGCUGCAUUCUUGGCUCCCUCUGCUACUCCACGGGCUUCUCGAAGCUCCCGGCGCACCUCGCCUGGUGGCUGACCAUAGUCUCCGGAACGGCCGUUCCGACCUCGCUCACCUGCGCCGUCCUUCUCAUGCCGGAGUCGCCCCGGUGGCUCGUGGCCAGGGACCAGAUGACCAAGGCCCGGCGCGUGCUCUCCAGGACGUCAGCGACGCUGGAGGAGGCAGAGCUCCGUUGGCUUGAGAUAAAAGCCGAGCUCGGCACACCGCACGAUGGCAUCGAAGAGACGGUGGCAACGUCGGUGAGACGUAACCGGUGGAAGAAGGAGUGCGCGAUAUGGCGGGAGCUGCUGGCGAGGCCGACGGAGCCUCUCCCCCGCGCGGUCGUCAGCGCGCUGGUCGCCAAGGUCUUCGCGUCCGCCAUGGGGUCCAUGUCCCAGUACGUGCAGCGCGGCUUCCUCGACGUCGGCGUCUCGUCCGCCCGGCAGAUGCCGAGGGCGCUGCUGGCGUUCGGGAUCGCCGUGGUGAUGUCCUUCUCCGUGUCGCUGGUCCUCGUGGAGCUCGGCUUGCUGCUGGUGACGGCACUCGCAGGUAGCCGCGCGCCGUCCCACCCCCUGCCUCACCGCGGCGGCGGCCACGUCGGCAUGACCCGGCGGCAAGAGCAGCUGAAGCGGUCGAGGGGGCUGUCCGCGACCAUGCUGAUGUCGCUGAUAGCGCUGGUGUGGAUCGCGCCCGGGCCGGCGCAGUGGGCGGACGCAUCGUCGUCGUCGUCCGGCAGCAGCCGGUGGCUGGGGGCGGCGGCGGCCAUGGUGGACAGGGCGUUGGUCCUGUGGAGCUUCGCGAGGGCGUACGGUGCCAGCUCCGUCCCCGUGCACGGGAGCUUGCUCGUUUGCCCGGCGGUCGGCGUGCUCGUGUGGUUCUUGUUUUGUGCGUGCCUUCUCGGCGCGAGGAGGAGGCGAGCCAGCUUCAUUCACGUACGGUCUUUCCCAAUAACCACGUCCGCCGCUAGUCUAGCGAGCUUGGUUCACGGCUGA
rnacentral:rRNA from 1 species